rnacentral:rRNA from 1 species
UGAUUGACGAUGGAUCACCAGUGAGUGGCGGACGGGUGAGUAACACGUAGGUAACCUGCCCCGGAGCGGGGGAUAACAUUUGGAAACAGAUGCUAAUACCGCAUAACAACAAAAGCCACAUGGCUUUUCUUUGAAAGAUGGCUUUGGCUAUCACUCUGGGAUGGACCUGCGGUGCAUUAGCUAGUUGGUAAGGUAACGGCUUACCAAGGCGAUGAUGCAUAGCCGAGUUGAGAGACUGAUCGGCCACAAUGGAACUGAGACACGGUCCAUACUCCUACGGGAGGCAGCAGUAGGGAAUCUUCCACAAUGGGCGCAAGCCUGAUGGAGCAACACCGCGUGAGUGAAGAAGGGUUUCGGCUCGUAAAGCUCUGUUGUUGGAGAAGAACGUGCGUGAGAGUAACUGUUCACGCAGUGACGGUAUCCAACCAGAAAGUCACGGCUAACUACGUGCCAGCAGCCGCGGUAAUACGUAGGUGGCAAGCGUUAUCCGGAUUUAUUGGGCGUAAAGCGAGCGCAGGCGGUUGCUUAGGUCUGAUGUGAAAGCCUUCGGCUUAACCGAAGAAGUGCAUCGGAAACCGGGCGACUUGAGUGCAGAAGAGGACAGUGGAACUCCAUGUGUAGCGGUGGAAUGCGUAGAUAUAUGGAAGAACACCAGUGGCGAAGGCGGCUGUCUGGUCUGCAACUGACGCUGAGGCUCGAAAGCAUGGGUAGCGAACAGGAUUAGAUACCCUGGUAGUCCAUGCCGUAAACGAUGAGUGCUAGGUGUUGGAGGGUUUUCCGCCCUUCAGUGCCGGGAGCUAACGCAUUAAGCACUCCGCCUGGGGAAGUACGACCGCAAAGGUUGAAACUCAAAGGAAUUGACG